rfam:Loxodonta africana unplaced genomic scaffold scaffold_5, whole genome shotgun sequence.
UGUCAUUUAGGUUCAUCCUAUCUGGUGAAUGGAAGAGCCAGCUCUUUUGAUUCUCUUGUCUGCCAUUCAUCUUUUGAGCUUUUCAGCCAAGGAAUUUUUAUUUAAAAGGGCCUGAAGAGGGAGGAAGAUGCCAGUCAUUUC